UCCGACGUUUGGGGUCGGAGAAAUUGUUUCUUCCUGGGCGAAAAGAGAUGGGCUCUGUUCGCUUUGAAAGUGAUCCCCGUCAGUUAGAUCGAUUGUCGUUGCUGGAGAGACCACAGUUGAUCAUCUACCAGAGGAUGAGAGGAGAGAGGUUUUCUUCGACCACAGUAGAUCAUCUAUCCAGAGGAUACUGGAACAUGUUCAUGAAGCUUGAAGCCCAAUUACAUGAAAAUAUGAAAUUUCAAUAAAUUUUAUUUCCACACAAUCAGUAGCUGACAAAGGAAAAAGAAGCAAUACAAAGCCAUUGACCAACAAAGAGAUUGUCGCAGUUGAGAUGCGGAUUGAGGGCAGAAAAGAGUUCUGGGAUCAAUUUGAACUGAUUUAUAAUUCCAUCACAAGUGGCACCACUUGUGACUGAACCCAACGUGGUACAUGCAGGGACUCCAUUUGCACCUGAUAGCUGAACUGCAUAUUCCAACAUCCAGAAAAGAGCAUAUCAAUUGACCCACAUUUUAUAGUUAUGAAGCCAAGAACCACAGCACGUAUCGUUGAUUCGAGAUUACUUACGGCUUUCAGCAAUGCAGACGAUGAGGAGAAACGAGAGUAUUAGUGAGAUCAAGUUGAUAGCCCUAGACGCCAUGGCAAGUGCUCUUCACCGGAUGGCACAAUAUGUAGAGAAAAAAAAAGAGAAGAAAAGGAUCUGCCGGAGAGGAGAAAACAAGGGAAUCUGCCGGAGACGAACAAGUAGAGUUCUGUGACACACAUGAGAAGUUGUUUCAAAACAAAUUAUUCGAUUAUAACAACUUAGAUAAUUGCAUUACCA